UACGGAGGGGGCUAGCGUUGUUCGGAAUUACUGGGCGUAAAGCGCGCGUAGGCGGCUUUGUAAGUUAGAGGUGAAAGCCCGGGGCUCAACUCCGGAACUGCCUUUAAGACUGCAUCGCUAGAACGUCGGAGAGGUAAGUGGAAUUCCGAGUGUAGAGGUGAAAUUCGUAGAUAUUCGGAAGAACACCAGUGGCGAAGGCGACCACCUGGACUGAUACUGACACUGAGGUGCGAAAGCGUGGGGAGCAAACAGG
rnacentral:rRNA from 1 species